rnacentral:lncRNA from 1 species
GAUAAAUACAAAUAUCUUGGUGUGUGGAUAAGCAACGGGGCUGAGUAUCUAAGGGAGCACGAAAGAUACGUGGCGACUAAAAGUAACAGGAAUGCAGCUGUAAUGAAAAAUAGGGCAGUGUGGAAUUACAAUAGGUGUGAUGUUGUGAGAGGGAUCUGGAAAGGGGUCAUGGUUCCUGGCCUGACGUUCGGCAAUGCGGUCUUAUGUAUGAGAUCAGAGGUUCAAGCAAGAUUAGAAGUUAAGCAACGUGGCAUAGGUAGGCUGGCUUUGGGAGCACACGGGAAUACACCAAAUCAGGGGGUACAAGGUAAUAUGGGAUGGACAUCAUUUGAGGGCAGGGAAGCUAGCAGCAAGAUAAAAUUUGAGAAGCGAUUGAGAGAAAUGGGGGAGGAGCGUUGGGCUAGGAAGGUUUUCAGCUACUUGUACAUGAAGAAUGUCGAUACAAAAUGGAGGAAGCGGACCAGAAAAUUGGCAAGUAAAUACUUAUAAAACGGCAGGAGACCGAAUCAAAGGGAACUAUCCGUUAAGAAGAAGGUGAAAGAAACUGGGAGGGACAUGUGGAAAAUAGGGAUGAGUACGAAAUCAGCACUGGAGACCUACCGAACUUUUAAGCAGGAAAUUGCCAAGGAAAGGAUCUAUGAUAAUACUCGGGGUAGUUCUCUACUGUUUG